rnacentral:misc_RNA from 1 species
UGAAGAUAGAGUUGGAAACUAAGGUGAAACUGAAGAUGGGAGGUUUAAAGACACCAAAAGUUGGGAUCAGGGUAUCCUGUGAAGGGAUCAAAGUCACUGUUCCCAGUGGGAAAACGGCAACCACAGCUUCAGUAUCUAACGCUAAGUGCAAGGUUGAUUUGAGGAUCAAAAUCUGGAAAUGGACUUUUUGAGAUGGGAUUCAUCGGUGUUUAA